GCGGCUGACAGAUGAACACGAUGUAGUGCACGCCGAAGACCAGGACCAGGACCAGGGUGGACUUGGCAAGUUUCCUGAAAGAGGAGAGCGAGCCUGUUUAUUAAUCAGUCUAGAGUGCUUUCCUGUGGUAGCUUGAGGUGAAUCCUGGGAUGACUGGAUUGGAGUUUGUGAACUGAGUGAGACAGUUCUGCCCUGAGUGUGAAUGGGCACCAUUCCGUCAUCUGGGGGACCGGACAAAACAAAAAGGCCAAUACAAGGGAAACAAGCUACCAUGCUGUGAACUGCUCUGCAGAGAGGCCAGGGUGAUGAGAAAAAGUGGCUCUGGACUAUAGCCAGCAAGCAAAUGAAUCCUACCAACUGUGAUUUUAUUUUGUGUUGUUAGUGCUUUUUAUCCAAAAUAAAUUGUCCUAUGUGACUGC